GUCCCAUCCGACUGAGGUAACUUUCACGGUAGGAUUUCCUAUAUACCAUGUCCGUCCACCAUUUUCCGAGUACCUAAUAAGUCAUUUCCAUAUAAAUUUCCAUCAGUAUAACAAUCAACCAUACAAUAACCAUAUCUCAUUUUAUACUCACUGUUCACUUAAACAACAAUAUAAUUUAACAUACCCAAAUAACCAAUGACCAAAAUACCGGCACGUAAU
rnacentral:lncRNA from 1 species